UACGGAGGGGGCUAGCGUUGUUCGGAAUUACUGGGCGUAAAGCGCACGUAGGCGGAUCGUUAAGUCGGGGGUGAAAUCCCAGGGCUCAACCCUGGAACUGCCUUCGAUACUGGCGAUCUGGAGAUCGAGAGAGGCGAGUGGAAUGCCGAGUGUAGAGGUGAAAUUCGUAGAUAUUCGGCGGAACACCAGUGGCGAAGGCGGCUCGCUGGCUCGAUACUGACGCUGAGGUGCGAAAGCGUGGGGAGCAAACAGG
rnacentral:rRNA from 1 species